rnacentral:rRNA from 1 species
UACGGGGGGGGCAAGCGUUGUUCGGAAUUACUGGGCGUAAAGGGCUCGUAGGCGGCCAACUAAGUCGGACGUGAAAUCCCUCAGCUUAACUGGGGAACUGCGUCCGAUACUGGAUGGCUUGGAUUCGGGAGAGGAAUGCGGAAUUCCAGGUGUAGCGGUGAAAUGCGUAGAUAUCUGGAGGAACACCGGUGGCGAAGGCGGCAUUCUGGACCGACAUUGACGCUGAGGAGCGAAAGCCAGGGGAGCAAACGGG